rnacentral:rRNA from 1 species
CGGGGUUACAGCCUUGCUGAAUUAUUCACCCUUGUCUUUUGCGUACUUCUUGUUUCCUUGGUGGGUUCGCCCACCACUAGGACAAACAUAAACCUUUUGUAAUUGCAAUCAGCGUCAGUAACAAAUUAAUAAUUACAACUUUCAACAACGGAUCUCUUGGUUCUGGCAUCGAUGAAGAACGCAGCGAAAUGCGAUAAGUAGUGUGAAUUGCAGAAUUCAGUGAAUCAUCGAAUCUUUGAACGCACAUUGCGCCCUUUGGUAUUCCAAAGGGCAUGCCUGUUCGAGCGUCAUUUGUACCCUCAAGCUUUGCUUGGUGUUGGGCGUCUUGUCUCUAGCUUUGCUGGAGACUCGCCUUAAAGUAAUUGGCAGCCGGCCUACUGGUUUCGGAGCGCAGCACAAGUCGCACUCUCUAUCAGCAAAGGUCUAGCAUCCAUUAAGC